AUUGAACGCUGGCGGCAUGCUUUACACAUGCAAGUCGAACGGCAGCACGGACUUCGGUCUGGUGGCGAGUGGCGAACGGGUGAGUAAUACAUCGGAACGUGCCCAGUUGUGGGGGAUAACUACUCGAAAGAGUAGCUAAUACCGCAUGAGAAUUGAGGUUCAAAGCAGGGGAUAGUAAGACCUUGCGCAACUGGAGCGGCCGAUGGCAGAUUAGGUAGCUGGUGGGAUAAAAGCUUACCAAGCCGACGAUCUGUAGCUGGUCGGAGAGGACGACCAGCCACACUGGGACUGAGACACGGCCCAGACUCCUACGGGAGGCAGGAGUGGGGAAUUUUGGACAAUGGGCGAAAGCCUGAUCCAGCAAUGCCGCGUGCAGGAUGAAGGCCUUCGGGUUGUAAACUGCUUUUGUACGGAACGAAGAGCUUCGGGCUAAUACCCUGGAGUCAUGACGGUACCGUAAGAAUAAGAACCGGCUAACUACGUGCCAGCCGCCGCAGUAAAAC
rnacentral:rRNA from 1 species